GACGAACGCUGGCGGCGUGCUUAACACAUGCAAGUCGAACGAGUGGGAACGGGUGAGUAACACGUGGGUAACCUCCCCAUCAGAGGGGAUAACACUUGGAAACAGGUGCUACACCGAUACUGAUGGAUGAACCCGCGGUGCAUUAGCUAGUUGGUGAGGUAAAGGCUCACAAAGGCCCCGAUGCAUAGACGCCCUGAGAGGGUGAUCGGCCACACUGGGACUGAGACACGGCCCAGACUCCUACGGGAGGCAGCAGUAGGGAAUCUUCGGAAAGGGACGAAAGGCUGACCGAGCAACGCCGCGUGAGUGAAGAAGGUUUUCGGAUCGUAAAACUCUGUUGUUAGAGAAGCGGUAUCUAACCAGAAAGCCACGGCUAACUACGUGCCAGCAGCCGCGGUAAUAC
rnacentral:rRNA from 1 species